rnacentral:rRNA from 1 species
CAGCCGCCGCGGUAAUACUGAGGGUGCAAGCGUUAAUCGGAAUUACUGGGCGUAAAGCGCACGCAGGCGGUCUGACAAGUCAGAUGUGAAAUCCCCGGGCUUAACCUGGGAACUGCAUUUGAAACUGUCAGGCUGGAGUCUUGUAGAGGGGGGUGGAAUUCCAGGUGUAGCGGUGAAAUGCGUAGAGAUCUGGAGGAAUACCGGUGGCGAAGGCGGCCCCCUGGACAAAGACUGACGCUCAGGUGCGAAAGCGUGGGGAGCAAACAGGAUUAGAUACCCCGGUAGUCCCUGUCUCUUAUAC